rnacentral:rRNA from 1 species
GAUGAACGCUAGCGGCAGGCUUAACACAUGCAAGUCGAGGGGUACAGUCCCGCUUUCGGCGGAGCUGACGACCGGCGCACGGUGCGUAACGCCUAUAGAACUACCUUUACUGAGGGAUAGCCUUUAGAAAUGAAGAUUAAUACCUCAUAGUAUUUUAGAUUGGCAUCGAUUUAAAUUAAAGAUUUAUUGGUAAAAGAUGGCUAUGCGUCUUAUUAGCUAGAUGGUAAGGUAACGGCUUACCAUGGCAACGAUAAGUAGGGGCCCUGAGAGGGGGAUCCCCCCACACUGGUACUGAGACACGGACCAGACUCCUACGGGAGGCAGCAGUGAGGAAUAUUGGUCAAUGGAGGCAACUCUGAACCAGCCAUGCCGCGUGCAGGAAGACGGCCCUAUGGGUUGUAAACUGCUUUUAUACAGGAAGAAACAGUCCCUCGUGAGGGGCCUUGACGGUACUGUAAGAAUAAGCACCGGCUAACUCCGUG